GGAAUGGGAGUCACAUGUGUGUCAAUCAGACUCUUCUGGAACGUUCUGAUGUCCGUGAUGAGGACAGUGAUGCAACUGUGUCUGCAUCCAGGACCUACUGCCARUCAUCCAGAUGUAGCUAAAGAAAGAAGCAGCUGGUGGAGGAAGGCAGAGAGUACUGGCAGCAGAGGAGGUGGCAUUCUGGGAGAAUGGCAGCUAUGAGGCGGUGUCAGGAUGGACCCCAAGUUUCUCCAACCAGGAGUGACAUCAGGACUACAAGACAGGAAGAGCGUCAGGUCUACGCUACAGGAGAGACGUUGGGCCUGUCUUGAACGCAGCAUAAUGUUUGAUCUUGUUUGGACAAAAAACACUGCCAGAUGGUCCAGAAAUGGACAAGCAUUUAUGUCUUAUUUUGUGUGCAAACAGUAAAAAAAAAAAAAAAAUGAAAUAAAGAAAAUAAAACUGUCUCUUAUGUUCCUCAUAUAGGAACAUGUUGCAUAUAAGCAAUAUCAAAUGAAUAUAUUUUAAUACAGCAUUUAUUUUUUAUAUAGAAUUUUUAAA